AAGGCGUUUUAAUCCGGGUUCCGAGUUUCAGCCGCAUGGUUAGGAGUUGGAAAGAAUUUUGGUCAAGGAUGGACUCGCGGCCUUUUCAGCUAGUUGGUGAGGUAAUGGCUCACCAAGGCGACGACGGGUAGCCGGCCUGAGAGGGUGACCGGCCACACUGGGACUGAGACACGGCCCAGACUCCUACGGGAGGCAGCAGUGGGGAAUAUUGCACAAUGGGCGAAAGCCUGAUGCAGCAACGCCGCGUGAGGGAUGACGGCCUUCGGGUUGUAAACCUCUUUUAGUAGGGAAGAAGCGAAAGUGACGGUACCUGCAGAAAAAGCACCGGCUAACUACGUGCCAGCAGCCGCGGUAAUACGUAGGGUGCAAGCGUUGUCCGGAAUUAUUGGGCGUAAAGAGCUCGUAGGCGGUUUGUCGCGUCUGCUGUGAAAUCUGGGGGCUCAACCCCCAGCCUGCAGUGGGUACGGGCAGACUAGAGUGCGGUAGGGGAGAUUGGAAUUCCUGGUGUAGCGGUGGAAUGCGCAGAUAUCAGGAGGAACACCGAUGGCGAAGGCAGAUCUCUGGGCCGUAACUGACGCUGAGGAGCGAAAGCAUGGGGAGCGAACAGGAUUAGAUACCCUGGUAGUCCAUGCCGUAAACGUUGGGAACUAGAUGUGGGGGCCAUUCCACGGUCUCCGUGUCGCAGCUAACGCAUUAAGUUCCCCGCCUGGGGAGUACGGCCGCAAGGCUAAAACUCAAAGGAAUUGACGGGGGCCCGCACAAGCGGCGGAGCAUGCGGAUUAAUUCGAUGCAACGCGAAGAACCUUACCAAGGCUUGACAUAUACCGGAAACGUCCAGAGAUGGUCGCCCCGCAAGGUCGGUAUACAGGUGGUGCAUGGUUGUCGUCAGCUCGUGUCGUGAGAUGUUGGGUUAAGUCCCGCAACGAGCGCAACCCUCGUUCUAUGUUGCCAGCACGUUAUGGUGGGAACUCAUAGGAGACUGCCGGGGUCAACUCGGAGGAAGGUGGGGAUGACGUCAAAUCAUCAUGCCCCUUAUGUCUUGGGCUUCACGCAUGCUACAAUGGCCGGUACAAAGGGCUGCGAUACCGUAAGGUGGAGCGAAUCCCAAAAAGCCGGUCUCAGUUCGGAUUGAGGUCUGCAACUCGACCUCAUGAAGUCGGAGUCGCUAGUAAUCGCAGAUCAGCAACG
rnacentral:rRNA from 1 species